AAUGCAAUAAAAUAGUCCGCCUAAGAAAAAUUGAAUUAUAUUGGGAACUUUUUUAUAAUUUUGGUUUUUUUGGUAAAAUGACUUUUAGGUGGUAAUAGGUGUCUUCCUCUACUCGUAUUUGGCUGUCAAUUUUUUUCUACACUUUUAGGUGUAUUUUGUGCAAGAAAAUGCAAUAAAAUAGUCCGCCUAAGAAAAAUUGAAUUAUAUUGGGAACUUUUUUAUAAUUUUGGAUUUAUGGGUAAAAUGACUUUUAGGUGGUAAUAGGUGUCUUCCUCUACUCGUAUUUGGCUGUCAAUUUUUUUCUACACUUUUAGGUGUAUUUUGUGCAAGAAAAUGCAAUAAAAUAGUCCGCCUAAGAAAAAUUGAAUUAUAUUGGGAACUUUUUUAUAAUUUUGGAUUUAUGGGUAAAAUGACUUUUAGGUGGUAAUAGGUGUCUUCCUCUACUCGUAUUUGGCUGUCAAUUUUUUUCUACACUUUUAGGUGUAUUUUGUGCAAGAAAAUGCAAUAAAAUAGUCCGCCUAAGAAAAAUUGAAUUAUAUUGGGAACUUUUUUAUAAUUUUGGAUUUAUGGGUAAAAUGACUUUUAGGUGGUAAUAGGUGUCUUCCUCUACUCGUAUUUGGCUGUCAAUUUUUUUCUACACUUUUAGGUGUAUUUUGUGCAAGAAAAUGCAAUAAAAUAGUCCGCCUAAGAAAAAUUGAAUUAUAUUGGGAACUUUUUUAUA